rnacentral:rRNA from 1 species
CAGCAGCCGCGGUAAUACGAAGGGGGCUAGCGUUGCUCGGAAUCACUGGGCGUAAAGGGUGCGUAGGCGGGUUUCUAAGUCAGGGGUGAAAUCCUGGAGCUCAACUCCAGAACUGCCCUUGAUACUGGAAGUCUUGAGUAUGGGAGAGGUGAGUGGAACUGCGAGUGUAGAGGUGAAAUUCGUAGAUAUUCGCAAGAACACCAGUGGCGAAGGCGGCUCACUGGCCCAUAACUGACGCUGAGGCACGAAAGCGUGGGGAGCAAACAGGAUUAGAGACCCCUGUAGUCCCUGUCUCUUAUAC